UUUGGUAACACUGAUAAGUGGAAUUUCAUUGAAGUGUAGCCAAAUGGCAGUAGAUUAAAAUGUGAAUAAGAGAAAAAAGUGCAGUGAAAAGUAUAUUUGAAAGACUAAAUUUUAGGAACCAAGUCUAGAGGAGCUGACACUAUCUGGGACAUGCAAUUCUCAAGUGGAUGGAUGGAAUAUGAGCUUCACCACUAAACAUCUGAACAACACUGGGAUGUAAGCUCUAGUUGAGAGUGGAGAAGAUCCUCCUGCAUGCAGUGAUUCCAUGCCUAGGCCUUAGAUACAUAACCCAAGAUUCAACAAGCAACACCCG